AUUGAACGCUGGCGGAAUGCUUUACACAUGCAAGUCGAACGGCAGCACGGACUUCGGUCUGGUGGCGAGAGGCGAACGGGUGAGUAAUGUAUCGGAACGUGCCCAGUCGUGGGGGAUAACGUAGUGAAAAUUACGCUAAUACCGCAUACGAUCUAUGGAUGAAAGCGGGGGAUCGCAAGACCUCGCGCGAUUGGAGCGGCCGAUAUCAGAUUAGGUAGUUGGUGGGGUAAAGGCCCACCAAGCCAACGAUCCGUAACUGGUCUGAGAGGACGACCAGGAACACUGGAACUGAGACACGGUCCAGACUCCUACGGGAGGCAGCAGUGGGGAAGUUUGGACAAUGGGAGAAAGCCUGAGCCAGCCAUUCCGCGUGCAGGAUGAAGGCCCUCGGCUGUAAACUGCUUUUGUACAGAACGAAAAGGUUUCUACUAAUACUAGGAGCUCAUGACGGUACUGUAAGAAUAAGCACCGGCUAACUACGUGCCAGCAGCCGCCGUAA
rnacentral:rRNA from 1 species